GCCCGCUUGGCCCAGUGGUUAAGGCGUCAGUCUUGUAAACUGAAGAUCACCGGUUCGACUCCGGUAGUGGGCA